rnacentral:rRNA from 1 species
UACGGAGGAUGCGAGCGUUAUCCGGAUUUAUUGGGUUUAAAGGGUGCGUAGGCGGCCUGUUAAGUCAGCGGUGAAAUUCAGGGGCUCAACCUCUGCCGUGCCGUUGAUACUGGCAAGCUGGAAUGCGGAUGCCGUGGGAGGAAUGUGUGGUGUAGCGGUGAAAUGCAUAGAUAUCACACAGAACACCGAUUGCGAAGGCAUCUCACGAAUCCGCAAUUGACGCUGAUGCACGAAAGCGUGGGGAUCAAACAGG